rnacentral:rRNA from 1 species
UAUGUGAUCGUCUCUCGCAUAUCAAUAAGCGGAGGAAAAGAAACUAACAAGGAUUCCCCUAGUAACGGCGAGUGAAGCGGGAAGAGCUCAAAUUUGAAAUCAUAAAGGGUUUCCCUUUACGAAUUGUAGUUUAAAGAAGUGUUUUCUGUUGAGGUUUUGGUAAAGGUUCUUUGGAAUAGGACAUCAUAGAGGGUGAGAAUCCCGUAUUUGACCUUUACUUUCAACUUUGUGAUACACUUUCAAAGAGUCGGAUUGUUUGGGGAUGCAGUCCAAAAUGGGUGGUAAAUUUCAUCUAAAGCUAAAUAUUGGCGAGAGACCGAUAGCGAACAAGUACCGUGAGGGAAAGAUGAAAAGAACUUUGAAAAGAGAGUUAAACAGUACGUGAAAUUGUCAAAAGGGAAGCGUUUGACACCAGUGUUGUUUUUCUGAAAAUCAAUUAAAGAACUGUUUAUGCUAAGCUGUUUAGACUUUAUCAGCUAACUGUUUAGUUUUGAGCUUUUCUUUAAUGCACUUUUCAGUUAACAAGUCAACAUCAAUUUCUUUUGCUGUAAAAAAGCUUGAGGAAGGUGGCUUGAGAUUCGUCUUAAGUGUUUAUAGCCUCUUGCCUAUGCAGUCGGAGAGAUUGAGGUCUGCAGCGUAGAUCCUUCGGGGCUAAAUGCAUUUGUGCUAAGUUAUAGCAUUUUAUAGACAACUUGUUGACUAUGAUUUGUCUUGUAGCUUACUCGCUUAUGUUAUUUUACCUACGCUUAGGAUGUUGAACGCGCACAGAGUCUC